AAACACUUCCACAAACGUCCUUUAGUUCUAUAGGAGUAAAUUAACCGAACACUGUCAUGUGAUUACACCGAGUCUGUUACAUUGGGGUAAUGCUCUUUGAUUCUUGUGGUACGUACCGUGUUAGAUGCCUUUUCACAUUUUGCCAUAAUUAGCAGUUGGGAUCUAAUAUGGAAAAAUUUCUGAGUCACGUCACUCUCCGUUGACUCCACUUUAAGAAGAUGUGCGAGUGAAUCUCCUCCACCAAAACACCAGAACAAGGCUGACAGACUCCUCACUGUUGGAAGAACUUUGCUUGGUGCGUUCAUUAUUUUGUACGUACCUUGUAGGUUUUGUUUUGCAUGACCUGAGUUUUGAAAGGUUUAUUUUCAUAUAUUUUUACUCCACACCAUCCGACUCAUCGCCACAGCCAGGAAAAAGAAAGAUCCAGUGUUUACAUGCUCAAAUUGCACUUGUUUUACAGCCAGCUCUAUAAUUCUUGUGAAACAAACUGUUCGUAAAACUGGAGGACAAAUGUAACCAUAGAACGUACAUCGUGUGAUUCCUGCGAAUCAUGAACAUGUACUUCUAGAAGAUGUAUUUACUGUAUGUCACGCAAUUUGGAAUAGAUGCACCAAGUGCAUGCUGUAGUUUUAUCAGGUUCAGCAUAAGCAUUAACAUCAAACGCCCUUCAACUACAAAGGAUGUAAAGGAUGCUCGCCAGUAGCAUCUGAACGUAAGCCAUGUGAUUGCACACUGAGUGGGUGUUCCCUGUAUUUUCUCUUUAAUAAGUUGCCUCUGGUUAUGGUCUGUUCUUACUGUAUGAGGAGACUUGCAAGAAGCUUUGCUGAUUCGCAGUUACACAUCAGUAUACUGUACCUCCCUCUUUGGAAGAGUCUAGCAGGCAGACUAUCUCAUGUUUAACCAGUAGGUGAGGAAAGAUUUUCCAACACUUUAUGAUAUUUGGCAAUGAAAAAACGCAACCCACAAGAUCAACAGCCCAUUUAUUUUUCAGUAUGAAUUAGUAAAUGAUUUUGUUCAUUUCUGUGUUCAUUUCUGAUUUAUUGUAUUUGUUGCAUUUGUUAUGGAUUGUUAUUCUUACUGUUGUUGUUGUUUUAUCAUAUGAAGGAAAUGUAAUUCAUCUGAUAUACUGGCACUGGAAGAAAAAUGCAUUUGGUUUUUGUACUGUAAUUGUUUUGUUCACAUUGGGCGCUUAUUUGAUUCAGUUGUUUAAAAAGGUGUUUGAUUUCAAUUGGAGUAUCACUACUCAUGGAAUCAACAUUUGUGUAGUAUGAAGUUGUAUUUUUUUUGUCAGUGCAAAUUAAUGUUAUAGUGUCAAUCAGCUUUUUUAGGUGUUUGAACAAAAUGUGUUUUUUACAAAUACAAGGUGUUCAAGUAUGUGGUAUAAAAAGGGUUAUCAUUCAGACAACUGACUUUUUACAAAUAAAGGCUUAUACAGUAAAGAAAGCUAAUGUCUUUUCAUUUGCCCUUUGUGGACUAAUAUACAGCAUUGUUUCAUUUGACUUUGUAUUAAUUUAUUUUCAGAUAUUAGUCCCCAAAAGGUAAAUAGCAUACAAUGUUGCAAAAUAAGAGGAUAAAAUCAGGUAUUUUACCAUUGCUAUUCCAGGUUGUUGUCAGAGCUCUCACCUCUUAGUUGGUGUCUUGCUUUUGAUAAGGACUGUUGGAUAUGAAGACAGUCCGAAAACAAAAUUUAAGAAAAAUCAAGAGUGUCUUCUUUUAAUUUGAUUACAAAACAUUGCGCGUUUAUGAGAAUAUACCUCCUUUCAUACCCUAUUUCCUGAAUAAAGACGCAAAGUGAC
ensembl:lncRNA